rnacentral:rRNA from 1 species
UACGUAGGGUGCGAGCGUUAAUCGGAAUUACUGGGCGUAAAGCGUGCGCAGGCGGUUCGUGAUGUCUGAUGUGAAAGCCCCGGGCUCAACCUGGGAAUUGCAUUGGAAACUAGCGGGCUGGAGUGUGGCAGAGGGGGGUGGAAUUCUACGUGUAGCAGUGAAAUGCGUAGAGAUGUGGAGGAACACCGAUGGCGAAGGCAGCCCCCUGGGCUAACACUGACGCUCAUGCACGAAAGCGUGGGGAGCAAACAGG